rnacentral:rRNA from 1 species
AUGGAGGCACCACAUAAGCAAUUAUGUCUAAAGAUGUGUUUCAAGGAUCAACAUCAAUUCAGAGAGGCUUUGUUGAACUUACACAUCACUCAAGGCAGAAACUUCAAAUAUCAUAGGAACUCAGAUCAAAGAAUAAUUGUACAAUGCAACCAAAAACAUUGCAACUUCUUUAUGGUGGCAGCAGUUAUAAAAGGUGAAACUACUUUUGUAAUUAAGAAGAUGAGAAUUAAGCACACUUGCCCUAUUAGUACAGAGACAACAAGGAUAAGUGCCAAGUGGCUCGCACGGAAGUAUGAGUCACUGUUCAGAUCUGAUCUAACAACUGGCAUUCAGACUUUGAUUGAUGCCUGCAUGGAGAAGUAUGGUGUGGAUGUGCCCAAGUCAAUGGCAUAUAGAGUAAAGAACCUAGCUAUUGAUGCUAUGCUAGAAGACCACAAGAAGCAAUACCCUAGGUUGAAAGACUAUGCUCAGGCAGUGAUGGAUACAAACCCUGAGAGUAGAGUAGUAGUCACUACUGUAACUCCAACACCCACUGAAAAAAUCCCCCAUCCAGGUCCAAGAUUCCAUGCUAUGUUCUAUUGCAUCAAUGGAGCAGGGAGGGGUUUCUCAAGGGGUGCAGACCAUUCAUUGCUUAGUUUGUUCACCUUGUGCAUUAGUUACAUAUUGUUUCAUCUUGAAAUGCAUUUGAAUGUUUUAAAUAUUGAAUUUUCUUGCUCAUUCAGGUGUUGA